UUAAGAAUUAAGAAAUAUGGUAUCCCUAC
rnacentral:piRNA from 1 species